rnacentral:rRNA from 1 species
UACGGGGGGAGCAAGCGUUGUUCGGAGUUAUUGGGCGUAAAGGGCGUACAGGUGGUGGUGUAAGUCAGAUGUGAAAUGUCUCGGCUCAACCGAGGAUCUGCAUUUGAUACUGCAUCACUUGAGUACAGGAGAGGAGAGCGGAAUUUUCGGUGUAGCGGUGGAAUGUGUAGAUAUCGAGAAGAACACCAGUGGCGAAGGCGGCUCUCUGGCCUGAUACUGACACUGACGCGCGAAAGCUAGGGGAGCAAACAGG